ACCAAAGAGAAGGAAAGUGGACAGCGAAUGCCGAGUGUUUAAUAAGGAGUGGACAACAAAAUACUUAUUCACUGAAGUCCGAUCAACGGCUGUAUGUCUGAUAUGCCAAGAAGCUGUUGCGGUUUUCAAAGAGUACAAUAUCAGCCGUCACUUUGCCACGAAGCAUGCAAACUAUGCUAGCAAGCAGUCAACACAAGAACGGGCGGCUACUGCUCAGAGGUUGGAUAAUCAUGAAAAUCAACAAAGCCCAUCACAGAUCCAAGUUAACUGACCAACACCUCAGAUCUGUCCUGAGAAUUGCCACAACAAAACUAACUCCAGACUUUGAUGCACUGGCAAAAAGGGAGACCAACAACACUGUUCCCACUGAAAUGAUGCUCCACGAAAAAUCAUCUGUGACCUCUGACCUUGAGCCUCUUCUCCAGGAACUUCAUGCCUCCUUCCUGUCCAUAGCCAAACUCGUAAGGGAAACUCCAAUCCCGGACUAGGAAUAUCAUGGACUGAAACGACACACAGGUUCACUAAGUUACCACGCAGUAGGAAGUAAACAGCAUGAGCUGAUGUACAGUACCUCUAAAAAUGUCUAUCAAGAGCUAUUGUACCUGCAUGGAGCUGAUCAUGGUGCUCAGUGCGAACACGGUGGCUGAAUCCCUCAACGUCGACUGGCUGUCGAACGUGCCCUGAGUAUCCAUCAGUAGAACAGCCACCUGAGGGACGAGACAGGAGAACGUUAAGUCUUCACUCAACACCGAGUUGCAGUUUCACAGAGCUCGCAGAGGAAUUCAUAAGGGAUAUUCUUUAAGAAUCAAUUGGUGUGAACAGGUAACUGCCAAAAUGAAGAACACACACACACACACACACACACACAUACACACACACACACACACACACACAUACACA